rnacentral:tRNA from 1 species
GUCACGAUAGGUCAAGUGGUUGAACAGCGGCGUAUAAAGCCGAAGGUCGUGGGUUCGAAUCCCACUCGUGACA